AUUGAACGCUGGCGGCAGGCCUAACACAUGCAAGUCGAGCGAGCGGCGGACGGGUGAGUAAUGCCUAGGGAACUGCCGAGUCGAGGGGGAUAACAGUUGGAAACGACUGUUAAUACUGCAUACGAUUGGAUGUCCUAGGUGGGAUUAGCUAGUAGGUGAGGUAAUGGCCUACCUAGGCGACGAUCCCUAGCUGUUCUGAGAGGAUGAUCAGCCACACUGGAACUGAGACACGGCCCAGACUCCUACGGGAGGCAGCAGUGGGGAAUAUUGCACAAUGGGCGCAAGCCUGAUGCAGCCAUGCCGCGUGUGUGAAGAAGGCCUUCGGGUUGUAAAGCACUUUCGGCGAGGAGGCGUUACACGCAGAAGAAGCACCGGCUAACUACGUGCCAGCAGCCGCGGUAAUAC
rnacentral:rRNA from 1 species